rnacentral:tRNA from 1 species
CUGGAUGUAGUUCAGAUGGAAGAACGCAUGGUUUGGGACCAUGAGGUCGCAGGUUCGAGCCCUGCCAUCCAGA